rnacentral:rRNA from 1 species
AUGCCUACGGGAGGCAGCAGUAGGGAAUAUUGCUCAAUGGGGGAAACCCUGAAGCAGCAACGCCGCGUGGAGGAUGAAGGUUUUAGGAUUGUAAACUCCUUUUGUGAGAGAAGAUAAUGACGGUAUCUCACGAAUAAGCACCGGCUAACUCCGUGCCAGCAGCCGCGGUAAUACGGAGGGUGCAAGCGUUACUCGGAAUCACUGGGCGUAAAGAGUGCGCAGGCGGGCGUGUAAGUAAGAUGUGAAAUCCUGUAGCUUAACUACAGAGAUGAAUUUG